GAUGAACGCUGGCGGCGUGCCUAAUACAUGCAAGUCGAGCGAACGGACGCGUAGCUUGCUUCUCUGAUGUUAGCGGCGGACGGGUAAGUAAACCGUGGAUAACCUACCUAUAAGACUGGGUUAACUUCGGGAAACCGGAGCUAAUACCGGAUAAUAUUCUGAACCGCAUGGUUCAAUAGUGAAAGACGGUCUUUCUGUCACUUAUAGAUGGAUCCGCGCUGCAUUAGCUAGUUGGUAAGGUAACGGCUUACCAAGGCAACGAUGGAUAGCCGACCUGAGAGGGUGAGCGGCCACCCUGGAAGUGAGACACGGUCCAGACACCUACGUGCGGCAGCAGUAGGGAGUCGUCCGCGAUGGGCGAGAGCCUGACGGAGCAACGCCGCGUGAGUGAUGAAGGUCUUCGGUUCGUUAAACUCUGUUAUUAGGGAGGAACAAAUGUGUAAGUAACUGUGCACAUCUUGACGGUACCUAAGCAGAAAGCCACGGCUAACUACGUG
rnacentral:rRNA from 1 species